AAGAAAAAAAAGCUCAGUUCUACACACUUUGAUCAGUGUGCGUGGUUUGGAUUUUGCGAAUAGGUUUUUUUCUGCGCCAAGUUUUUCGCCCGUGAAAGUAUCGUUUCCCUCGGUUUCCGUACAGUGUCUCGUUUUCCCGUAAAACAAGGACGACCAGCAAUGGAUCUUGCCAAACUCAAGGUGGCCGACCUAAAGGCCGAGCUAGCGGCGAGAAAUUUGGACACCAAAGGAGUGAAAGCGGUGCUGCUGGAGCGCUUGAAGGAAGCGAUCGAACGCGAAACCAACGCGGUCGCGAACGUCGAUUUAAGCAGUCAACAACAGUUUCUGGCACAACAGCAGCAUCAACAGCAACUGCUACUGCAACAGCAACUGCAAGCGCAGCAGCAAUUGCAGGCGCAGCAGCAACUGCAAGCCCAGCAGCAGCUUUACAUUCAACAGCAACAACUUCAGCAGCAGCAGCAGCAGCAGCAACUUCAACAGCAAAAUGUUGCAGUGGCCGAGCAGCAGCCUCAAGCCGAGCAGGCGAUUGAGGAUUUAUCCAUGUCAAGCAAGCGAGUGGAUACCCCGGUCCGGCGGCGUAGCACCAGACGUUCCAUGACACGAUCGCCCUCUCCGCCGAACAACUCAGCGGACAACCCACACGCAUCGCUCAUGGGAAGUGCUCGAAAGCGGGGUCGAUCGCGCUCCAUGACCAAAUCGCCUUCACCGCAGCGCACUACAAGCGAAGUACCGGCGCUUGCAUCCGUACAGGAGGAAGAACCGGAACCGGUGGUGGAAGCGACAGAGCAGCGAUUAGUCAGUGUCGAACCUACGCCUGAAGCAGCUCAGCCUCCAAAAGACGAUAGUGGCAACACGAUGGCAUCCGUCGCCGAAGCACCUGUCGCUCCCUCACACCCGGAACCCGUCGAACAGGCAGACCUGCAGGAGCCAGCACCCUCCUCAGAAGCUGUCACAUCCGCAAUGGAGGUUGAGGAGUGUGAUGCCGCCGAAGCACCGGUUGAAGCGGUAGAAAAAGGUGAAACAGACAAAGCUGAAGCUACGGCGCCCGUACCAGAAACGACAGACACGGUUGUGGAGGAAAAAUCGUCUACAGAGAUCGUCUCGAAGGAGGUGGAUGAUAAGCAGCCUGAAGCUGAAGAACCUCCAGCAUCGGUCGAAACAAGCGAAUCUGAUGCUAAGCCCGCGGCUUCUAGCGCUGGGGACACUGGUUCAAGCGAUAAAUCAAAAGCAGACGUCACGAAAGCCGAAAAGAAGCAAUCCGCUCAGCAGCAGGCCCAGAAUAACGUGAUUGAAUUCGUCACAGAAGAGGUGGAGCCACAGCUGCCCGCGGAAGCCGAAGAGACCUUCACGCUUAGCUGGUAUGAUUCCGAUUUGAAUUUGACAAUCGACGAUAAGGAUCUGCUGUCUGCAAAGCCGCUUUCGGACGGUAUAUUUGGCCUGGUGUGGGCCGGUGUUCGGGCGAACCGUGGCGUCACAGGUGGCAAGGUGUUCUACGAAGUAUUAGUAACGGACGAGCUGCAGCCAACGACCAAAUCACCGUUGGUGCCCGAGGGCGAAACACCGACGCCGGAAAUGCGAAUAGGCUGGUCAACGCUGUUGGACGGCAAACGGCAACUGGGCGAAUCCGAACUGUCCUAUGGAUACGCCAGCAGCGGACAGAAGGUUGUCGGCGGCACCUUCGAGCAGUACGGUGUUGCGUACGGCAAGAACGACGUUGUGGGCGUUUACCUGGAUAUGGACGCGUCACCCUGCCGAAUGCUGUUCACGGUAAACCGCGUGCGACAAGGCGAUGCGUUCGAGUUCGAAAAGGAUUCGCUGAACGGUCAAGCAUUGUUUCCGCAUGUGUAUGCGAAAAAUCUGGCGUUCAAGAUAAACUUUGGCGCUGUGGAGGAAGGUUUCCCGCUGACGGAGAAGAAAGCAGCUUCCUCCGACAAACCGGCAACCGAAGCGGACGACAAAGAAGCAAAAGAAAGCACGGAAUCGACAGCUGCCAAGGAGCAGGAGGAAAAACAGGCAGCAGACGAAACGGAGGCGAAGGAAGAAACAAAGCCGGAUAACGCUGCUACGGACGAGCAGGACGCCAAAAUGGAGGAAACGGAAAAUGCGACGCCCGUCGCCACAGCAGAAGACUCACCUGCUGAAGACGUACCGUUUGACAAAGAGUUUAAAUUCCUGAAUUCAUUUGUCAAGCAGGAUGGCGCUGCGGUGGUCGAAGGAUUAAAGGGACCUUCGGCUAGGGAUUGCUGCGAGCUUGUAAUGAUGAUCGGACUUCCGGGCAGUGGCAAAACCACCUGGGUACAAAACUAUCUGAAGGAAAAUCCGGAAAGCUCCUUUACUUUGCUGAGCAUCGACAGUUUGCUUGAGAAUAUGAAGGUGUUGGGUAAGGCCCGAGAGCCUUCAAACACUCCACAGUGGCAGAAGGUGGUUGAGCAACUGUCCCGCAACAUGGCACGCUUGAUCGAGAUCGCGUGCAAACGCCGAAGAAACUUCCUCAUCGAUCAGACCAAUGUGUUUGCGUCGGAACAGAAGCGUCGGCUGAAAGGUUUCGGCGGAUUUAAGACGCGUCGUGCGGUGGCGGUUGUACCGAAUCUGGAGGAGUAUAAGCGCCGGUAUGAGCUAAAAGUUGCCAAAUACGGCAAGGAAGUACCUGAAACGACGCUUAACACGAUGAAGGCAAACAUUUUUGUACCAUCGUCAGUACAAAACUGGUACACGGACAUUGUAUUUACCGAGCUGGCGGAAGCGGAAGCACAGGAGCUGAUUAAGAAGAUGAACGAGGAGGGCCGUAAGUUGAUUCCACCGCGAAGAAACCGCGCUAAUCAGUCGAACCGACAGAAGCAGCACAACAACAACAACAACAACAACGCCAACAGCAACAACUACACAUCGCGCUGGAACCACAAUCGUCCGCAAGGUGGUGGUGGCGGACAGCAGUACGGCAAGAAUCGGUACGGUAACAAUGCCGGUGGUAGUGGCGGUGGAUACAACCGCUACGGAGGAAACAAACCGAACGACAGUGUCGGCGGUCAGUACGGCCACCAUCGUGCCGGGGAUUACCGGAGCGGCAAUGGGUACGGCCGCCGGGACGAUCAUCAUCACCAUCAUCGGGGUGGAAAUUACGGUGGAAGUGGCGGAAAUCGGUACGAUGCCUGGAAUCGUAACAGCGGCGGUGGCGGAGGAGGAUAUUACAACGACCGCGGAUAUUCCAACCGUGGUUACAAUCAGCAGCAGCAGCAGGAUCAUUCCAAUAACCGAUACGACGCACGUCGCCGUGAUCGUCGAGGAUACAACAAUGGUUCAGGGUGGAAUGCACAAGGAGGGCAAUCGCAGCAGUGGAACAAUAGCUAUCCAAAGUCGGGCAGCUCGGAUUCCUGGUACUUAUGGUGGCAGGAUCAUUAACGCCACUGAAGGAAGGCAUACGCGCGCAUAGUGCCCCUUGACUGUGCUCCCUCCCCCUCCCCCGAGGACUAGAGUUCUAGAGUGUAACACGCCCCACACACUGACUGACUGACUGAGCGAAUGAAUGAUCCUAUCCGAACCGAAUCUGAAGGCGAACGGAAGCGUUGCUUUCGUGUGUGUGUGUGUGAUUACUAUUAUUAGAUGUAGAUGCGUGUUUACCACUACCACUCGCUACAGCAGUAAUCGUUUCGCGAGUGUUAGUAAAAUAAAGAGCUGCCGCUCACCGCUCGUCCUUAAGUUUUUCCCAACCUUCUCCACCACCACCACCACCUUCACCCACCUACCCCGCUACCUUCCUUCGAAACAGUGUGCGACGAAACUUGCAUGUGACUCGAGCCGAAGGGGCGGCGUUUCGCACACACCACCGGCACACACGCGGAGCUCGUUAAGUAAAACCAAACCAACAAAGUCUAACCUGAACAAUCUGCUCGCACCGAACAGUGGCGGCGCGGACGGUUCCGCUGCAUCGUCAUCCCAGUGGAAUCAGUACGGGGGGAACAGUGCGCAUCAAUCCUCCUCCUCCUCCUCCUCCUACGGCAACUACAACUCGAAGGGUUCGGGCGCAGGUUCCAGUAGUAUGGGAUAAAGCGGCAGCAGCAGCGCCAGCUCUUGGCAGGCAGGAGUUUCUUUUUUUAUUAAUUUUUACUAUUGAACCUGACGUAACUUUAACGGUAGUGUAAAUUAAUUUAGUUACUUAGAUGAAUUCUUUUCACACACACACACACACACACAAUAAAUCACAACUACUGCUUAUACACUGCUGCAUUCAUUAUACGCAGUGAGUAAGGCUGUAGAGCAGGAUGGUUCGUUAGCCAACACUUUUAUACACACACACACGCACGCCACAAGCAGGAAGACAUACAUAAUAUGCCGCACCCUCCCUCCCUCACACUGGUUUGGUGUAGGCAAUUGGUAGGGGUGUAGCUAAGAUUAAGCUGCACGAAAUUACGAUUAUCGAUAAGGGAAAGAAGGGUCGUCGACCGUGUGCAGUCAAACGGUACGGAAGCAGUCCACACUGGUAAUUUAUGUGUAAUAUGUUCGUUUUACAAUACCUAAGAGAAAGCUCGAUGUUCAACAUUAGUACGGUAAGGGACGGCAUCUUUGGCAUCUCGGCAGUCACGCAAAGGAAGCGAAAGGCAGAUGAUUUUCUGCUUCUUUUAAGGGUUUUUUUUUUAUUUGCUCUGUUGCCGUUUUAUUUUUACUUUGUUCUUACUUCUCCGGGCAUCAAGCGAACAUUUUUUGUUUUGUAUAUUUUCGAAUGAUUUUUUUAUAUAGCAACCGUUUGAAAAUAAAAUCGUAACGUGUAGGAUGUUUAUCAGUUAGAAGGCGCUAGUGGGAUGGUGCUGAACAGGUGAACCCAACGAGAACAAGGCUAGCAAGGGGGAACUAGUUUCGGGAAGAUUAAGAUGCAUCCUCCAGCUAGAAGAAAGUUUUGUUUUACUUUUCACACACACACACUCAUUUUGUUAUCCACAUUCGUCGAUGUAAGAGCAUAGUAUUGAGGGAUCAUGGUACACUGAGGACAGCCAGAGGACGAAAUUGAGGCGAACACGUGUGUGUGACGACCGUUGCUAUCCGUAAAUGGAUGGACGGUGCGUUUGAAUUGAAAGCUAAAGUUUGCACAAGCUGCAAAAAAGAACGAUUGUAUCAUCCACACAAGUAACAACAACUCUACACAUUUGGCGUGCGUUAACCCAUUAAAUUAAAAUGAAAACAAACAAACAAACAAAAUCAUUCAUGCUUACAAGUAUCUACGAUUGCAAAAUGACAAACUGCAUUGUAUAAUAAGGAGUUCGUACAUGGAAUGCUAAAACUAGUGGUAGAUUGUUUGCGAAAAUAAACAAAACCGACAACAACAAAAGAAAUAGCAGAAGCAAAAGACGGAACGCGGGCAUGUUCUGUUCAUGUUCAGAGAAGAACAAGCAAACCCCACUUUUAUUGCCAUUUGCUGACAAAGAUGCAGUACAACAAAACAUGAAAAACAACAGUUACACAGCUAAAGAACUCAAACACCCAACUUGUCGCUAUCUCUACUGUCUAAUACUUAAGGUACAAAUAAAUGAAAAACUGUCCAUACCUA